rnacentral:rRNA from 1 species
GACGAACGCUGGCGGCGUGCUUAACACAUGCAAGUCGAGCGGUAACGCUCCUUCGGGUGUCCCCGAGCGGCGCACGGGUGCGUAACACGUGAGUAAUCUGCCCUUCCCUUCUGUAUAACCACCGUAACCGGUGGCUACUACCGCAUACGACCAGUCUUCCCAUGAGGUGCUGGUGGAAAGUCUUUUCGCUGAAGGCUGUGCUCGCGGCCUAUCAGCUUGUUGGUGGGGUAAUGGCCUACCAAGGCGUCGACGGGUAGCCGGCCUGAGAGGGUGACCGGCCAAAAUGGGACUGAGACACGGCCGAGAGGCAGAAGGGGGGAAGAAGUGGGGAAGAUCGGACGAGGGGUGAAAGCAUAAGGCAGCAACGCAGAGUGAGGGAUGACGGCAUUCGGGUUGUGAACCGAUUGCAGUACAGACGAAGCGUACUGGCGGGUGGUGACGGUAGGUAAAGAAGAAGGACCGGCCAACUACGUG